rnacentral:rRNA from 1 species
GUCUACAGCCAUACCACCCUGAACAUGCCCCAUCUCGUCUGAUCUCGGAAGCUAAGUAGGGUCGGGCCUGGUUAGUACUUGGAUGGGAGAACUAUUCACAUAAUGCUAAUUUUUUGUCCUCA